rnacentral:rRNA from 1 species
GUUCAGAUUGCAGGCUGCAACCCGCCUGCAUGAAGUCGGAAUUGCUAGUAAUCGCGGAUCAGCAUGCCGCGGUGAAUACGUUCCCGGGCCUUGUACACACCGCCCGUCACACCAUGGGAGCCGGUAAUACCCGAAGUCAGUAGUCCAACCUCGUGAGGACGCUGCCGAAGGUAGGAUUGGCGACUGGGGUGAAGUCGUAACAAGGUAAC